CCUACGGGAGGCAGCAGUCGGGAAUAUUGCGCAAUGGAGGAAACUCUGACGCAGUGACGCCGCGUAUAGGAAGAAGGUUUUCGGAUUGUAAACUAUUGUCGUUAGGGAAGAUACAAGACAGUACCUAAGGAGGAAGCUCCGGCUAACUAUGUGCCAGCAGCCGCGGUAAUACAUAGGGAGCAAGCGUUAUCCGGAUUUAUUGGGUGUAAAGGGUGCGUAGACGGGAGAGCAAGUUAGUUGUGAAAUCCCUCGGCUUAACUGAGGAACUGCAACUAAAACUGUUUUUCUUGAGUAUCGGAGAGGAAAGUGGAAUUCCUAGUGUAGCGGUGAAAUGCGUAGAUAUUAGGAGGAACACCAGUGGCGAAGGCGACUUUCUGGACGAUAACUGACGUUGAGGCACGAAAGUGUGGGGAGCAAACAGGAUUAGAUACCCUUGUAGUC
rnacentral:rRNA from 1 species